rnacentral:rRNA from 1 species
AUUGAACGCUGGCGGCAUGCCUUACACAUGCAAGUCGAACGGUAACAGGUCUUCGGAUGCUGACGAGUGGCGCACGGGUGAGUAAUACAUCGGAACGUGCCCGAUCGUGGGGGAUAACGAGGCGAAAGCUUUGCUAAUACCGCAUACGAUCUACGGAUGAAAGCGGGGGAUCUUCGGACCUCGCGCGGACGGAGCGGCCGAUGGCAGAUUAGGUAGUUGGUGGGAUAAAAGCUUACCAAGCCGACGAUCUGUAGCUGGUCUGAGAGGAUGAUCAGCCACACUGGGACUGAGACACGGCCCAGACUCCUACGGGAGGCAGCAGUGGGGAAUUUUGGACAAUGGGCGAAAGCCUGAUCCAGCCAUGCCGCGUGCAGGAUGAAGGCCUUUGGGUUGUAAACUGCUUUUGUACGGAACAAAAAGCCUCUUUCUAAUAAAGAGGGGUCAUGACGGUACCGUAAGAAUAAGCACCGGCUAACUACGUG